UGCAGUCUUGUUAAAUUCAGUGCUCCUUUCUGAGUGGAUGUCACUGCCCAAAAUGGCUGCUUGUAUUUUUCUUGCUUCAUGUGUGCUCCAAUGUAGCUGCUGCAAAUAAAUAUGUACUACACACUG
ensembl:snoRNA